rnacentral:rRNA from 1 species
GACGAACGCUGGCGGCGUGCCUAAUACAUGCAAGUCGAACGCUGACGGCGGAGCUUGCUUCUCUGGAUGAGUUGCGAACGGGUGAGUAACGCGUAGGUAACCUGCCUGGUAGCGGGGGAUAACUAUUGGAAACGAUAGCUAAUACCGCAUAAGAGUUGAUGUUGCAUGAUAUUUGCUCAAAAGGUUCAAUUGCUUCACUACCAGAUGGCUCUGCGUUGUAUUAGCUAGUUGGUGGGGUAGCGGCUUAUCAAGGCGACGAUACAUAGCCGACUUGCCAGGGUGAGCGGCCACGCUGGGACGGGGACACGACCCAGACUCCUGCGAGAGACAGACGGAGGGGAUCUUCGGCAAUGGAAGGAGGGCUGAACGAGCAACGCCGCGUGAGUGAAGAAGGGUGUCGGAUCGUGAAGCUCAGUUGUGAGUGAGGAACGAGAGUGAGAGUGAAAAGUGCAGACUGUGACGGUAUCUGAACAAAAAGCGACGGCUAACUACGUG